AGAGUUUGAUCAUGGCUCAGAUUGAACGCUGGCGGCAUGCCUUACACAUGCAAGUCGAACGGCAGCGCGGGAGCAAUCCUGGCGGCGAGUGGCGAACGGGUGAGUAAUAUAUCGGAACGUGCCUUAGAGUGGGGGAUAACUAGUCGAAAGACUAGCUAAUACCGCAUACGACCUACGGGUGAAAGUGGGGGAUCGCAAGACCUCAUGCUCUUAGAGCGGCCGAUAUCUGAUUAGCUAGUUGGUGGGGUAAAAGCCUACCAAGGCGACGAUCAGUAGCUGGUCUGAGAGGACGACCAGCCACACUGGGACUGAGACACGGCCCAGACUCCUACGGGAGGCAGCAGUGGGGAAUUUUGGACAAUGGGGGCAACCCUGAUCCAGCAAUGCCGCGUGUGUGAAGAAGGCCUUCGGGUUGUAAAUCACUUUUGCUCGGAAAGAAAUCGCUCUGGCUAAUA
rnacentral:rRNA from 1 species